rnacentral:tmRNA from 1 species
GGGGGCGCACCGGUUUCGACCAGUGACUGGAGGCGCAGGCAGCAUGCCGGGGAUGAAUUGUUGGCCCCGUUAACAAUCAGUUCAAAACAAAUAAACGCGAACUCCAACGAGCUUGCCCUCGCUGCUUAAUUGACAGCGACAUCCGGGGUCAAAUGUCUGUUAUGACACUGGGUGCAACUUAACAGGCUGGCCAAAGGACCGGGUUUCCGGGUCCGAGGCGAGAUUCAACAGGAGAAUCGGAGCCCGAAAUUCCGCCGACGGAAGUUCAGGAUCUUAAAUCAAAACGCCGGAUAAGCAUGUAGAAACCUGCGUUAAAAGGCGCUGGGACACGGGUUCAAUUCCCGUCGCCUCCACCA